GUGAGGUCAUCCUAGAUCAUGGUGGGCCACCUUGAUUGGAUGAAGGAAAAAGAGAAAAAAAAAAAGGGAAAAGAAAAAGAAAUGGCCCCCCUUCUUCUCUCUCCUCCCUCUCUUCUUCCUCUCUACCGUGCGACUCCUCCAUCUCCAUCUUCUUCAUCUCCUUCUUCUUUGAAAACCCAGCAACCAGCGAAGCCGGAGAAGCCGCCGGACCUCACGCCUUUGCCCGUUAGCUCGUCGUCGCCGCCGCCCUGUGCCGCCCGCGCUCGUUUACCGGUCAGCUCCCCUCCCCGUUCCGCCUCAGCCCGCGUCCCCAGCAGAUCUGAGAACCCCGAACCAGCAAGCUGAAGACCAGUUGAAGCCAGCAGCUCCACUCGUCGCCGGAGCUCACCGCCGCCGCCGUCGUCCGUGCGCGAAGCUCGCGCGCCCGCGUGUCACCUCGCUGGACAGCCGUCGCGCGCUGCUCCGCCCUGCUCGCCCGGUCCCGAGCUCCUUCCCCUCCGUCUAGCCGUCGUCGCCGUCGCUAGGGUCGCCGUCAGCCUCGCCGGAGCUCCGCCUGAGCUGCCGCCCCUCUUCUCCGCCGUUCCUCCGCCCAUCCCGGCGCCGGAUCUGCUCCCUCUCGGCCCCAAGCAGAAUCUGGAAAAAUGGGUAUGGCAGCGGGUGUUUGGCUCGUUUUGGCCGCCUUCCCGAGCCCGGAUGCUCGGCCCGCUUUGAGGAAAGUUGUUCUCCUCGGCGUCCGUCGUUUUGGUCCGCUCGGUUCGCUAAUCCGGUGAGUUUAACUCACUAAACCUCGUUUAGAGGUUUAAUGAUGCUUUAAGUGUGUUUAGUUUAUAUUAAGUGUUAUUAGGUGGUUAGUUUAAUUUAUUUAAGUGUAGAUUAUAUUAAUGUGCUUGAUUAAUUUAAAUUGUGUUUAAUUUAAAGUUAAGUGGGUGUUUAUAUUAAUAUAAAUAUUGAUGUGACAUAAAGGAAUUUACUUUUGAUUUAUUUAAAUAUCCCGAAAUCAUUAAAUAAUUUAAUAAUAUAUUAUUAUUCGAAAUUAUUAAAAUAUUAUUAUUUAAUUAUUUUCGGAAUAAAUUUAAUUAUUUAUUAAAUUCCGAAAAUUUUGGUCGGGACCUUAAAUUCUCAGAAUUUCGUGCCGGUCGCUACGGUACAUUCGGAUUUUGAAAUUGAUGAUUGGAUAUUAUAAAUUGAGUGUAGAUUUCGAAAACUAUGGAUAUUAUUAUUUAAUUAUUUUCGGAAUAAAUUUAAUUAUUUAUUAAAUUUCGAAAAUUUUCAUUAGGACCUUAUUUGCUCAAAAUUUCGUGCCGAUCGUUGCUGUGCAUUUAGAAUUUGAAAUUGAUGAUUGGUUGUGAUGAAUUGAGUGUGAUUGUGAUUUAUAGGGAUUCUUUAUGAAAUCCUAAGUGUAGAAAUUGAUGGGAGAUUGGCUGUGAUUGACCACCUACUAGAGGUUGUGCCCAGUGAGGCCGUGAAAUACCACCUUGGAAAGGUCGUGCCCGAUGAGGCCGUGAUAAACCACCUACAAGAGGUCGUGCCCGAUGAGGCUGUGAAAUACCACCUAUUAGAGGUCGUGCCCAGAGAGGCCGUGAUAAACCACCUAUGAAAGGUCGUGCCCAGAGAGGCCGUGAUAAACCACCUAUGAAAGGUCGUGCCCGAUGAGGCCGUGAAAAACCACCUACAAGAGGUCGUGCCCGAUGAGGCCGUGAAUUACCACCUGAUUACAGGUCGUGCCGAGUGGGGCCGUGAUGCCACUGAUUUAAAUUUGCCGAGUAGGGCCGUAGUUAAGAGCAAUGAUUGAUUUGCUAGAAUGACAUGUAAUCAGCUGAGUUGAUUGAUCGCUGAGACGAUCCAAGUGGUUGAAUGGUUUGAUAAUGUGAUUGUGUCAUGGUUGUUUGGUUAUCAUAAUUGUACGUGGUUGGAUUAUAUAAAUUGUGCUAACCUGCAGAUGAAGGCUGAGGCGAGGUAAGUCUUCUGUGUGAUGUGGCUAGGCCACCUGGGGCGUAUUUUCUUUCUAAUAGGGGUUUAGGGGUUGAACUUGCUGAGACAUCGUCUCAUCCCGGUUGUGGGAUUAAAAUUUCAGGUCCCUGGUGGACGGAGCGGCCAGAUAGCUUUGAUUGGCCUUGAGGAGUUGCAGAGGUGAAGUCAUAAGGAUUGGAGAGCGUGUCUUGCUAGUUGGUUGUAGGAUAAUUCCCCUUUUGUCGAGCUGGUCUAUUUUGUAGAAAGUCCAGUGUUGUAUUUAAACCCUUUGUGUUUGUAAAUGAGUGUUUGAUAUUGUGAUUGAUUGCCUGCUUUUCUAUCCCAAGUUAAAUGUUGUCAGGGGAUUUGUUUCGCUUCCGCAUGCGUAAAGAAAUGAAUGGGUCGGCGACAUAUCUUGGGAUGUCGCAUUUUUCAUCGACCGUAGCGGUAUGUGCGCGCACUCGAGGUUCGGGGCGUGACAGUUGUGUGUAUUAAUUUUAUACAUGAUGUAUAUGAAUUGUGCUGACCUGUAGGAUGGAUCUGAGACGAGAUAAGUCCCUGUGAUUGUAUGAUUUUGUGGUUAGGACACUUCUAGGUGUAUUACCCUCCUAAUCGGGGUUUAGAGCGUGAACUCGCUGAGAUUUAUAUCCCAUCCCGUCGUGGGCUAAAUUUUU
rnacentral:lncRNA from 1 species